rnacentral:rRNA from 1 species
UGAGUACGAGAUGCUACGGCAUCGAAGCAGUCUAUGUCAUACUUCCAAGAAAAGCUUGCACUGUCAUAAACAAAGAAUGCCUGUACCAUAACCGACACAGGUGGGUAGGUAGAGUAUACUAAGGGGCGCGAGAUAACUCUCUCUAAGGAACUCGGCAAAAUGACUCCGUAACUUCGGGAGAAGGAGUGCCUUAUUUAUAAGGUUGCAAUAACAAGAUCCAAGCAACUGUUUACCAAAAACACAGGUCUCCGCGAAGUCGUAAGACGAUGUAUGGGGGCUGACGCCUGCCCAGUGCCAGAAGGUUAAAGAAGUUGGUUAGCAUUCGCGAAGCUGAUAACUGAAGCCCUGGUGAACGGCGGCCGUAACUAUAACGGUCCUAAGGUAGCGAAAUUCCUUGUCGGGUAAGUUCCGACCCGCACGAAAGGCGUAAUGAUUUGGAUACUGUCUCGGAGAGGGGCUCGGUGAAAUAGACUUGUCUGUGAAGAUGCGGACUACCUGCACCUGGACAGAAAGACCCUAUGAAGCUUUACUGUAACUUGAAAUUGAAAUUGGACUUUAUUUGCGCAGUAUAGGUGGGAGGCGUUGAGAAUAACCUCGCGGGGUUAUUGGAGCCAUCAGUGAGAUACCACUCUUGUAAUGUUAGAUUUCUAACUUUGUAUCAUUAUCUGGUCAAAGAACAGUUUCAGGCGGGCAGUUUGACUGGGGCGGUCGCCUCCCAAACGGUAACGGAGGCGCACAAAGGUUUCCUCUGAACGGGUAGAAAUCGUAUCUAGAGUGUAAAGGCAUAAGGAAGCUUGACUGUGAGACCUACAAGUCGAGCAGGGACGAAAGUCGGUCUUAGUGAUCUGACGGUGCUGAGUGGAAAGGCCGUCACUCAACGGAUAAAAGUUACUCUAAGGAUAACAGGCUGAUCUCCCCCAAGAGUUCACAUCGACGGGGAGGUUUGGCACCUCGAUGUCGGCUCAUCGCAUCCUGGGGCGGUAGUACGUCCCAAGGGUUGGGCUGUUCGCCCAUGAAAGCGGUACGCGAGCUGGGUUCAGAACGUCGUGAGACAGUUCGGUCCAUAUCCGGUGUAGGCGUUAGAAUAUUGAGAGGAGCCUUCUCUAGUACGAGAGGACCGAGAAGGACAUACCUCUGGUGUACCAGUUAUCGUGCCAACGGUAAACGCUGGGUAGCUAUGUGUGGAGUGGAUAACCGCUGAAAGCAUCUAAGUGGGAAGCCCACCUCAAGAUAAG